rnacentral:rRNA from 1 species
AGUGAACGCUGGCGGUAGGCCUAACACAUGCAAGUCGAACGGCAGCACAGUAAGAGCUUGCUCUUACGGGUGGCGAGUGGCGGACGGGUGAGGAAUACAUCGGAAUCUACUUUUUCGUGGGGGAUAACGUAGGGAAACUUACGCUAAUACCGCAUACGACCUACGGGUGAAAGCAGGGGAUCUUCGGACCUUGCACGAUUGAAUGAGCCGAUGUCGGUUUAGCUAGUUGGCGGGGUAAAGGGCCACCAAGGCGACGAUCCGUAGCCGGUCUGGGAGGCUGGUCGGCCACCCUGGAACGUGGACACCGUCCAGACUCCUACGGGAGGCAGCAGUCGGGAAUAUUGGACAAUGGGCGCAAGCCUGAUCCAGCCAUACCGCGUGGGUGAAGAAGGCCUUCGGGUUGUAAAGCCCUUUUGUUGGGAAAGAAAAGCAGCAGGUUAAUACCCCGCUGUUCUGACGGUACCCAAAGAAUAAGCACCGGCUAACUUCGUG